rnacentral:rRNA from 1 species
GUAGGUGGCAAGCGUUGUCCGGAUUUAUUGGGUUUAAAGGGUGCGUAGGCGGUUUUGUAAGUCAGUGGUGAAAUAUAGCAGCUUAACUGUUAGGGUGCCAUUGAUACUGCAGAACUUGAGUACAGAUGAGGUAGGCGGAAUUGACGGUGUAGCGGUGAAAUGCUUAGAUAUCGUCAAGAACACCUAUAGCGAAGGCAGCUUACUAGGCUGUAACUGACGCUGAGGCACGAAAGUGUGGGGAUCAAACAGGAUUAGAUACCCUGGUAGUCCACACUGUAAACGUUGAUUACUCGCUGUGUGCGAUAUACAGUACGCGGCCAAGCGAAAGCGAUAAGUAAUCCACCUGGGGAGUACACCGGCAACGGUG